rnacentral:piRNA from 1 species
CGCAUGUGCAAGGACUUGAAGCAUC